CACCAGCGCCCCGAGUGGGGAUCUCGUUUAUUUGGUCUAAAGCGUCCGUAGCUGGUUCGCUAAAUCUCUUGUGAAAUUGUCCGGCUCAACCGGGCAGCGUGCAGGGGAGACUGGCAGACUAGGGACCGGGAAGGGUCAGAGGUAUGCCGGGGGGAGCGGUAAAAUGCUAUAAUCCCCGGUAGAUCACCUGUGGCGAAGGCGUCUGACUAGAACGGGUCCGACAGUGAGGGACGAAAGCCAGGGGAGCAAACCG
rnacentral:rRNA from 1 species